rnacentral:tRNA from 1 species
GCCCCCGUAGUUUAACAGGAUAAAACGGCCGUUUCCUAAACAGCUAAUCCGUGUUCGAGUCACGGCGGGGGUA